UGCCAGCCGCCGCGGUAAUACGUACUGGGCGAACGUUAUUCGGAUUCACUGGGCUUAAAGGGUGCGUAGGCGGCCUGUCAAGUCGGGUGUGAAAGCUCUCGGCUCAACCGAGGAAUUGCGCUCGAAACUGGCAGGCUUGAGUGAGAUAGGGGUGUGCGGAACUUCCGGUGGAGCGGUGAAAUGUGUUGAUAUCGGAAGGAACGCCGGUGGCGAAAGCGGCACACUGGGUCUCAACUGACGCUGAGGCACGAAAGCCAGGGUAGCGAACGGGAUUAGAUA
rnacentral:rRNA from 1 species